GGAGGGAUGGGAGAGUGGCUAAAUCCAUCAGUCUGUAAAACUGACGCCUUCGGGCUACACAGGUUCGAAUCCUGUUCCCUCCACCA
rnacentral:tRNA from 3 species